AGGCAGUGCUUAAGGGGAAGGUGAAAAACCUUCGACAAGGUUCGAGCCGAGCGUAGCGAGACAACGACGCAAAGCGGCGACCCGAAGGGUGAGGAGCGGAGUGACGAAUAAUCCUUCCCCCACCACCA
rnacentral:sRNA from 1 species